AGCAGUAGCCGCGGUAAUACGAAGGGUGCAAGCGUUACUCGGAAUUACUGGGCGUAAAGCGUGCGUAGGUGGUGGUUUAAGUCCGUUGUGAAAGCCCUGGGCUCAACCUGGGAAUUGCAGUGGAUACUGGGUCACUAGAGUGAGGUAGAGGAUAGUGGAAUUUCCGGUGUAGCAGUGAAAUGCGUAGAGAUCGGAAGGAACAUCUGUGGCGAAGGCGACUAUCUGGGCCAACACUGACACUGAGGCACGAAAGCGUGGGGAGCAAACAGGAUUAGAUACCCCAGUAGUCCCUGUCUCUUAUAC
rnacentral:rRNA from 1 species